rnacentral:rRNA from 1 species
GACGGAGGAUGCAAGUGUUAUCCGGAAUCACUGGGCGUAAAGCGUCUGUAGGUGGUCAAAUAAGUCAACUGUUAAAUCUUGAGGCUCAACCUCAAAAAUCGCAGUCGAAACUAUUAGACUAGAGUAUAGUAGGGGUAAAGGGAAUUUCCAGUGGAGCGGUGGAAAUGCGUAGAGAUUGGAAAGAACACCGAUGGCGAAGGCAGGUCUCUGGGCCGAUACUGACGCUGAGGAGCGAAAGCGUGGGGAGCGAACAGG